GAUGAACGCUAGCGGGAGGCCUAACACAUGCAAGCCGAGCGGUAUUGUUUCUUCGGACAUGAGAGAGCGGCGUACGGGUGCGUAACACGUGUGCAACCUGCCUUUAUCUGGGGGAUAGCCUUUCGAAAGGAAGAUUAAUACUCCAUAAUAUAUUGAACGGCAUCGUUUAAUAUUGAAAGCUCCGGCGGAUAGAGAUGGGCACGCGCAAGAUUAGCUAGUUGGUGAGGUAACGGCUCACCAAGGCGAUGAUCUUUAGGGGGCCUGAGAGGGUGAUCCCCCACACUGGUACUGAGACACGGACCAGACUCCUACGGGAGGCAGCAGUGAGGAAUAUUGGUCAAUGGGUGCAAGCCUGAACCAGCCAUCCCGCGUGAAGGACGACUGCCCUAUGGGUUGUAAACUUCUUUUGUAUAGGGAUAAACCUACCCUCGAGAGGGUAGCUGAAGGUACUAUACGAAUAAGCACCGGCUAACUCCG
rnacentral:rRNA from 1 species